rnacentral:rRNA from 1 species
GAUGAACGCUAGCGGCAGGCCUAACACAUGCAAGUCGAGGGAGAGGUUAUCUUCGGGUAACCAAAACCGGCGCACGGGUGCGUAACGCGUAUACAAUCUGCCUUUCACAUAGGGAUAGCCCGAAGAAAUUUGGAUUAAUACCUAAUGGUAUAUAGGAGCGGCAUCGUUUUUAUAUUAAAGCUACGGUGGUGAAAGAUGAGUAUGCGCUCUAUUAGCUAGUUGGAGAGGUAACGGCUCCCCAAGGCGACGAUAGAUAGGGGUUCUGAGAGGGAUGUCCCCCACACUGGUACUGAGAUACGGACCAGACUCCUACGGGAGGCAGCAGUGAGGAAUAUUGGACAAUGGUCGGAAGACUGAUCCAGCCAUGCCGCGUGCAGGAUGAAGGUCCUAUGGAUUGUAAACUGCUUUUGUAAGGGAAGAAUAAGGAGUACGUGUACUUUGAUGACGGUACCUUACGAAUAAGCAUCGGCUAACUCCGUGCCAGCAGCCGCGGUAAUACGGAGGAUGCGAGCGUUAUCCGGAAUCAUUGGGUUUAAAGGGUCCGUAGGCGGGCUGAUAAGUCAGAGGUGAAAGCGCUUAGCUCAACUAAGCAACUGCCUUUGAAACUGUCAGUCUUGAAUGAUUGUGAAGUAGUUGGAAUGUGUAGUGUAGCGGUGAAAUGCUUAGAUAUUACACAGAACACCGAUAGCGAAGGCAUAUUACUAACAAUUUAUUGACGCUGAUGGACGAAAGCGUGGGGAGCGAACAGG